GACAUGCAGAGAACUUUCCAGAGAUGGAUUGGUGCCUUCGGGAACUCUGACACAGGUGCUGCAUGGCUGUCGUCAGCUCGUGUCGUGAGAUGUUGGGUUAAGUCCCGUAACGAGCGCAACCCUUGUCCUUAGUUACCAGCACGUUAUGGUGGGCACUCUAAGGAGACUGCCGGUGACAAACCGGAGGAAGGUGGGGAUGACGUCAAGUCAUCAUGGCCUUUAUGACCAGGGCUACACACGUACUACAAUGGCCGAUACAAAGGGCAGCGACACUGCGAGGUGAAGCCAAUCCCGUAAAAUCGGUCUCAGUCCGGAUUGGAGUCUGCAACUCGACUCCAUGAAGUUGGAAUCGCUAGUAAUCGUGGAUCAGCAUGCCACGGUGAAUACGUUCCCGGGCCUU
rnacentral:rRNA from 1 species